GCAAAACGCGAAGAACCUUACCAGGUCUUGACAUCCCGGUGACCACUAUGGAGACAUAGUUUCCCCUUCGGGGGCAACGGUGACAGGUGGUGCAUGGUUGUCGUCAGCUCGUGUCGUGAGAUGUUGGGUUAAGUCCCGCAACGAGCGCAACCCUUAUUCUUAGUUGCCAUCAUUCAGUUGGGCACUCUAAGGAGACUGCCGGUGAUAAACCGGAGGAAGGUGGGGAUGACGUCAAAUCAUCAUGCCCCUUAUGACCUGGGCUACACACGUGCUACAAUGGACGGUACAAACGGUUGCCAACCCGCAGGGGGGAGCUAAUCCGAUAAAACCGUUCUCAGUUCGGAUUGUAGGCUGCAACUCGCCUACAUGAAGCCGGAAUCGCUAGUAAUCGCGGAUCAGCAUGCCGCGGUGAAUACGUUCCCGGGUCUUGUACACACCG
rnacentral:rRNA from 1 species